CUACGGGGUGCUGCAGUGGGGAAUAUUGGGCAAUGGGGGAAACCCUGACCCAGCAACGCCGCGUGAAGGAAGAAGGCUUUCGGGUUGUAAACUUCUUUUAAGAGGGACGAAGAAGUGACGGUACCUCUUGAAUAAGCCACGGCUAACUACGUGCCAGCAGCCGCGGGAAUACGUAGGUGGCAAGCGUUGUCCGGAUUUACUGGGUGUAAAGGGCGCGUAGGCGGGUAGGCAAGUCAGAUGUGAAAUACCGGGGCUUAACUCCGGGGCUGCAUUUGAAACUGCUUAUCUUGAGUAUCGGAGAGGCAGGCGGAAUUCCUAGUGUAGCGGUGAAAUGCGUAGAUAUUAGGAGGAACACCAGUGGCGAAGGCGGCCUGCUGGACGACAACUGACGCUGAGGCGCGAAAGCGUGGGGAGCAAACAGGAUUAGAUACCCGGGUAGUC
rnacentral:rRNA from 1 species